CCUUAACUUACUCUCCGAUUGCUUGUAGUCACUUGCAAUCGGCCGCCCGCGACACCCGCGACCCGGUUUGGCUCGAACUCUCACGCGACCACCAAAACGAUCUCCGAUUUGCGAUCCGAAAAUUAAAGUUCUUCGGUUAUGUGCCACGGUGCUUCAAAUCCGUUUUCAUGAGUUUACGACGUCGCCUCGGCCCUCCAGACGGAAACGAAGCCUAAACGUCCAAUUCUUUAAUAACUUCGCAACGGCUCGACGAAUCGCCAAACCGACUUCGCGAACGCGUUCGUUUACCUAGCAAUUAAGUUAGAGAGAGGUCAAUUUAGAUCAAACCCUCAUAUUUCCAAAAAUUGCAUUUUGAACCCUAGGCUUCAUCUAUUGCAAGAAUUAAUUAAAUUGAUCCUAGAUUCUAGCAUUUAUCAUUUAUUUAGCAUGCUAGGAUCCCAAAUAAAUUAUUUCUAUGGAUUAUAAAUGAAGCUUUAAAGAUCUACCAUGAGAGGGUUCAAAAAACUCAUUUCAAGCCCUAGGUUUACAACUAGGCAAGAAAUCAUUAAAUCGAUCCAUGAUUUAAGCAACAAUCAUCUCUUUAGCAUGCUAGAUUAGCUCUAAAUCCAUUCUUGAAGCUUAAAACCCA
rnacentral:lncRNA from 1 species